GCCCGGUUAGCUCAAUCGGUAGAGCGUGAGACUCUUAAUCUCAAGGUUGCGGGUAGGCAAGAACUCAGGCUUUCGCGGAAUCUGAAUCGAAAUAACUAAUAUUGUGCGCUUAGGUUCGACCCCCGCAUCGGGCU